GCCGGGCGCGGUGGCCCACGCCUGUAAUCUCAGCACUUUGGGAGGCCGAGGCAGGUGGAUCACCUGAGGUCAGGAGUUCAAGACCAGCCUGGCCAACAUGGUGAAACCCUGUCUCUA
rnacentral:SRP_RNA from 2 species